UACAGAGGUCUCAAGCGUUGUUCGGAUUCAUUGGGCGUAAAGGGUGCGUAGGCGGCGCAACAAGUCACUUGUGAAAUCUCCGGGCUUAACCCGGAGCGGUCAAGUGAUACUGUCGUGCUAGAGUGCGGAAGGGGCUACUGGAAUUCUCGGUGUAGCGGUGAAAUGCGUAGAUAUCGAGAGGAACACCUGCGGCGAAGGCGGGUAGCUGGGCCGAUACUGACGCUGAGGAGCGAAAGCGUGGGGAGCGAACAGG
rnacentral:rRNA from 1 species